UGGCUGAGAGUUAAAGCCCUUGGCUUCUGAACAGGGGGUCCCGGGUUCAAAUCCUGG
rnacentral:tRNA from 1 species